UACGGGGGGGGCAAGCGUUGUUCGGAAUUACUGGGCGUAAAGAGUGUGUAGGCGGUGUUCUAAGUUUGUCGUGGAAUCUCCCGGCUUAACUGGGAGGGUGCGGCGAAAACUGGAAUGCUAGAGGAUGGGAGAGGUAAGCGGAAUUCCUGGUGUAGCGGUGAAAUGCGUAGAUAUCAGGAGGAACACCUGUGGUGUAGACAGCUUACUGGACCAUUUCUGACGCUGAGACACGAAAGCGUGGGUAGCAAACAGG
rnacentral:rRNA from 1 species